rnacentral:rRNA from 1 species
AUUGAACGCUGGCGGCAGGCCUAACACCUGCAAGUCGAGCGGAAACGACUUAACUGAACCUUCGGGGAACGUUAAGGGCGUCGAGCGGCGGACGGGUGAGUAAUGCCUAGGAAAUUGCCCUGAUGUGGGGGAUAACCAUUGGAAACGAUGGCUAAUACCGCAUGAUGCCUACGGGCCAAAGAGGGGGACCUUCGGGCCUCUCGCGUCAGGAUAUGCCUAGGUGGGAUUAGCUAGUUGGUGAGGUAAUGGCUCACCAAGGCGACGAUCCCUAGCUGGUCUGAGAGGAUGAUCAGCCACACUGGAACUGAGACACGGUCCAGACUCCUACGGGAGGCAGCAGUGGGGAAUAUUGCACAAUGGGCGCAAGCCUGAUGCAGCCAUGCCGCGUGUGUGAAGAAGGCCUUCGGGUUGUAAAGCACUUUCAGUCGUGAGGAAGGUGGUGUAGUUAAUAGCUGCAUUACUUGACGUUAGCGACAGAAGAAGCACCGGCUAACUCCGUGCCAGCAGCCGCGGUAAUACGGAGGGUGCGAGCGUUAAUCGGAAUUACUGGGCGUAAAGCGCAUGCAGGUGGUUUGUUAAGUCAGAUGUGAAAGCCCGGGGCUCAACCUCGGAAUAGCAUUUGAAACUGGCAGACUAGAGUACUGUAGAGGGGGGUAGAAUUUCAGGUGUAGCGGUGAAAUGCGUAGAGAUCUGAAGGAAUACCGGUGGCGAAGGCGGCCCCCUGGACAGAUACUGACACUCAGAUGCGAAAGCGUGGGAGCAAACAGGAUUAGAUACCCUGGUA